CCUACGGGUGGCAGCAGUGGGGAAUAUUGCGCAAUGGGCGAAAGCCUGACGCAGCGACGCCGCGUGAGGGAUGAAGGUCUUCGGAUCGUAAACCUCUGUCAGCAGGGAAGAACGGUCACUGUGCUAAUCAGCAGUGAAUUGACGGUACCUGCAAAGGACGCACCGGCUAACUCCGUGCCAGCAGCCGCGGUAAUACGGAGGGUGCGAGCGUUAAUCGGAAUUACUGGGCGUAAAGCGCUCGUAGGCGGUAUGUCAAGUCAAGGGUGAAAUCCCCGCGCUCAACGUGGGAACUGCCUUUGAAACUGGCAAACUGGAGUGUGUGAGAGGAUAGUGGAAUUCCAGGUGUAGGAGUGAAAUGCGUAGAUAUCUGGAGGAACAUCAGUGGCGAAGGCGACUAUCUGGCACAUAACUGACGCUGAGGAGCGAAAGCGUGGGUAGCAAACAGGAUUAGAUACCCGGGUAGUC
rnacentral:rRNA from 1 species